UAGCUAAUUGUUGUGGCUAGUCCAGAUG
rnacentral:sRNA from 1 species